UAUAUAUAGCGAGAGAAUCGUAAAUUUUCUCAAAACAACUCAGCAAAGCCAGCCAUUACAACAGCUUCAGGUGUUAUCACAGAGAACCAGCCCAAAGUACUGAUUUCUCAGCCCCUUCUGCUCUCAGAAUAAUACUUGCCGUUUACGUUCUUGUCGAUCAUGAGUCUCUUCUUAAGCCUCUUCAGUUGCUUCUCCGAUCAUUCCGAUAGUAGAGUGAUUAGCUCUGAAGGAGAGGGUCACUCGCACAAGAGCAGUUCAUUAAGCAAAGACGGCCAUGUCGAAGGCAAAGCCAAGUUGAAGAAGAACAACCCCAAGAAGAAGUCCAAGCCUCCUCCGAUUCCGGUGGCUUACUUCCCCGUUGGAUCUAACCUCUCUCGUCUCUGAUCCAGCCGAAAUCUGAAACAACAUUAGCGAUCAUCUUUUUUGUGCAGGAGGGAUGAUAGAAUCAGCGUAUUAAUUCAUUAAUUUGUUCCUAGAAAUUUGUCGGGAGCUGAAUAUAAAGCAGCGACAAACGUUUUUUGUUUUUCCUUUUCAUGAGGUUAGUGUAUAGUAUCGUGCUCAAGUAUCACAUCAUCUUUAUGUGAAAGAAUAGUCAAAAGUUGCUUUAUCUCUAUGUUUGAUUCUCUGGUGCUCUCUUUCAAGUCGAUUUCUCAGUGCUUAAGAUCAAGACGCAAAACGGCACUACAUGAAUGAACACACAAUGUGGAGCCUAAACUUUAGGGCUAGUCUCUCCACCCAUUUGGAAAAAACAAAAAGAAGACACACUCGGAGACGUGAAGCAAGAAACGAGACGACGUGUUCCUACAAGUAGCCUCGUACCUUGACCGCCACUAGAAAAAGAAACGUGAAUUCCAAUCUUGAAACAAAAGCAUUACGGGUCAAAGAGCUUAUAUACACCAGUGUGCAUCACCAAGCCAAUGGCGUGACGGAGCGUGGUUCUUGGUCAAGAAAAAACAAAAAGGCAAGUUCAUAGAAGAGUCUUAAUCAACGUAGGCUCCAAGGAAAUUGUGGCCCUCCAAAUUAAAUAUGAUUGAAGUUCGUGGAAUGUAGAAUCAAACGAUCGCGACUCCUUCAAAAGUGACUCCUGGUCCUUUUAUUCGUUUAA